GUGCUUGCUUUGACAGCACAUAUACAAAAAUUGGAACUAUAUAGAGAAGAUUAGCAUGGCCCCUGCACAAGGAUGACACGCAACUUUGUGAAGUGUCCAUAUUUUUA